AUGAGGGGCGGCGGGCGGGCGCGGCAGAACACGAUCCGGUCGGGCAUCGUGGUGCUGGGCGCCGCGGCCUUCGCCUACCUCUCCUACCGCGUCGGAUUCAAGCCCUACCUCGACCGCGCCCAGGAGGCCAUGGACUCCCAAAUCCACAGCUCCGACCACGCCGCAGCCGCAGCCGCCGCCGCCUCCUGGGAGGACCAGCCCGGUCACCCGGAGGGCGACGGCGGCCUCGCGCCGUCCAGGGACCCGGCCACCGUGCUCCGCGACUGACUCGCCCCGCCGUCAGGGGGCUUCCGCGGCAGCUUGGCUCGUUGUGGCAUUUCGCCGAACGCUUUGUAAGCGGAUAAUAAAGGACCAGGAAGCAGAACAUCUUCUAGAUUCCAGCGACAUUGUUGCAGAUCUGUGUGAUCCUAAUGGGAAAUCUCGUUUGCCCCAUGUUCUUGCGCCGACUUACUCACGGUAGCGAUUAAUCCCCUAUCGUUGCAAUUUGAGUGAUGUAGAGAUGUUAGUUCUUCAGGAGCUUGAAGAAUGUAGGUCUUGCCCUCAUAUUUGGAGAUAGUUUCCUCUCCUAUGUAGGGCGUUGUCUUUCUUAGUGGGACAUUUUCUUGCCAGCCAGGCACAGUUGCAUCGUCCCAUGUAAACGCGGCCUGCCGCUGGACACUCUGUAUUAUUUCUCCUUUCCUCUAAUACAUCGGC
rnacentral:rRNA from 1 species